rnacentral:rRNA from 1 species
ACACGCAUGACACACUGCAUAUCAAUAAGCGGAGGAAAAGAAACUAACAAGGAUUCCCUUAGUAACGGCGAGUGAAGCGGGAAGAGCUCAAAUUUGAAAUCUUCAAGGUUCUACCUUGACGAAUUGUAGUUUAUAAGAAGUGUUUUCUGUUAGUGAAGUUGGCUAAAAGUUCUUUGGAAUAGGACAUCAUAGAGGGUGAGAAUCCCGUAUUUGACCAUUAUUUUCAGCUGUGUGAUACACUUUCAAAGAGUCGGAUUGUUUGGGAAUGCAGUCCAAAAUGGGUGGUAAAUUUCAUCUAAAGCUAAAUAUUGGCGAGGGACCGAUAGCGAACAAGUACCGUGAGGGAAAGAUGAAAAGAACUUUGAAAAGAGAGUUAAACAGUACGUGAAAUUGUCAAAAGGGAAGCGUUUGACACCAGUGUUGUUUUCUCGAAAAUCAAUUAAAAAUGGAUGGGAUGUUGUGUUGUAUUGACUUUAUCAGCUUUCUGCACUUUUUUCUUAUCUUUUUUAAUGCACUUUUCGUUUAACAAGUCAACAUCAAUUUCUUUUGUUGUAAAAGAGUCAUUGGAAGGUGGCUUUUUCUUCGGAAAAAGUGUUUAUAGCCUUUGGCUUCUGCAAUCGGAGAGAUUGAGGUCUGCAGCGUAGAUCCUUCGGGGUUAGAUACAUUUGUGCUAAGCUAUAGUUCUUUAUAGACAACUUGUUGACUAUAAUCAAUCCUGUAACUUACUCGCUUAUGCUAUUUUACCUACGCUUAGGAUGUUGAUCUACAGAGCGAGAGU